rnacentral:misc_RNA from 1 species
CCUUAUCAGGAUGGACACAUAAUGUUGCCUUUCUAUAUACUUUUUUCACCGAGGCAGAAGUAAUCAAAUCUGUCAAUGAAACUGGUUCCCAUCCACAGUCAGGCCAAAGCACAUGUUGCAAUGAUGAUAACAAUGCGCGCAUGUUGCCUUCUUUCCCUGCCGCCCAGCGCUUUAUCUCAGCAUCCAUUUUGUCAGCAAUCCUACGCCUCUCUUCUUGCUCAUGCUGAGUUUGAACAUCACGCUGGUUCAUAUCAGCAACUGCUUUCGCCACACGAUCCUGGGUCCUCUGAUGUCGGCCCAAUCUGGCUCUUCGUCUUUCUUCACUUUCCCCUUCAACUUCCUCAAAUUCUCCAAAAAAAUGAAGCAUCUCCAAAUAUUGAAGAAAAAUCAUCAACCAUAUUUGUUGUAGAAGAAGCCUUCCUUAUGCUAGAUGAGGCACCACUAGAUGUCCUCUGGGCCACUGCAGCCUUUCCUUUGUUGUUUGUCAUUGCAUCAAAUACAGGAUCCGAAGUUGUAGUCCUUGACCUUGGUACGCUGCUGGACCGAGAACCCACGCUAAAAAAGAAAAGGAUUCUAUAUCAUCAACACUCUUUUCCUGAUUCUCCCAUGCAGCAUCUUCAGCUUCUUUAUAUUUACCUGCUUUUGCUGUUUGUCUCUCACUUGCUUCCUUAGCAUGGUGAACAUUUCCAUUAGCAUUAUUUUGCACCCUGCCCAUAGCAAAAUCUUCAAGUUCAUCUAUGGAAGACACAUUUGAACUUUUAACUUUAUUACUCUUCAAAACUUGUCCCGGUUUUGGAGGGGGCCUUAGUGCUGAAACAUUUGAUGAACCAGGGGGCCUUGUGCUUCCCAAAUGAUUGAACUUACUGAAUUCUUCCAAUGGGUCUAUGAAUGUCGAUUUCGUUGUGGUUGAAGUUGAUUCUAAUACUACAAAAGGGUCAUCUGUUGAGGUGAAAGCUGAUUUUUUCAUUGCCGUAGUUUCCCCCUUCUUCGAUGAGCUGCUUGAACCAAACCCAGGUAUCAAAUCAUCAAAACCUACAGAUCCAUUCUGGCUAGGGGUCUUCGUUUUUCCACCAAAGGUACCAAACAAGUCAUCAAUCGGUGCAGUUUGCUUUGGCUUUGAACCAAAGGACCCAAAAAUAUCAUCCGUGCUAAUGGAGUUCAAACUGUUUAACCCACUCAAUAUAUCGCCAUCCAAUGACGAUUUAGCAUUCAAGUAAUUAGAAUUUGAGAAGAUGGAAUCGUAAUCGAAAAAAGACCCAGUACCAUUAUCAGUUGUUUGCCUUGAGUUCUUUUGGAAACCACCAAAAAUGUCAAAACCAUAAUCUAAACCACCAAAACUCUGGGGUUUUUGGCUGCUAAAAAGA